UGGGGAAUAUUGCACAAUGGGCGCAAGCCUGAUGCAGCAACGCCGCGUGAGGGACGACGGCCUUCGGGUUGUAAACCUCUUUUAGUAGGGAAGAAGCGAAAGUGACGGUACCUGCAGAAAAAGCACCGGCUAACUACGUGCCAGCAGCCGCGGUAAUACGUAGGGUGCGAGCGUUGUCCGGAAUUAUUGGGCGUAAAGAGCUCGUAGGCGGUCUGUCGCGUCUGCUGUGAAAACCCGAGGCUCAACCUCGGGCCUGCAGUGGGUACGGGCAGACGUAGAGUGCGUAGGGGAGAAUGGAAUUCCUGGUGUAGCGGUGGAAUGCGCAGAUAUCAGGAGGAACACCGAUGGCGAAGGCAGUUCUCUGGGCCGUAACUGACGCUGAGGAGCGAAAGCGUGGGAGCGAACAGGAUUAGAUACCCUGGUAGUCCACGCCGUAAACGUUGGGCGCUAGAUGUGGGGCACCAUUCCACGGUUUCCGUGUC
rnacentral:rRNA from 1 species